GGAGAUGUAGCUCAGUGGUAGAGUACUUCCUUAGAACAUAUGUGGCCCUAGAUUCAAUCCCUAGCACCUCAA
rnacentral:tRNA from 1 species